rnacentral:lncRNA from 1 species
GCGGAAGUGGUGCGGGGUCUCGCGUUGCUCCGAUACCGCGGGGCGGCCCUGGGGCUGGGAACGCCGCCUCGGCUUCUACAAGGUUCCUGUCCAAAAGCAAAACUCAGUGGUCAAGGCAGUUGAAGAACGAGUGAAGCCAGCUCCUUCCAGAAGUGAGGGAGGUUCCUGUGUGGAGAGAACCCUCACACCUUGGGCUUCUUCUGACACUUCAGCCAUCAUGUCUCAGCAAGGAGAUGACCGUGGUUCCAAUUCCUGCUCUGUGAGAGGAAAGAAGCAGCGUGGCGCGGUUCCCCGUGUUAGGGAGCAGCAGCCAGCAGGCUGCCGGAGAUCCAACCGCACCUUGCAGUGCACAGAGGGACGCGAUGGGGACAGUGUCCUUACUGCCACGCAAAAGGACGGAGCCUGCGUGUCCAUGGAAUGGUGCUGGGCAAGGGGGGAAACGGAAAACCUCCCCAGAAGCUGAUGCCAGUGGCCUUCCUCUGAAGUGCAGCCUUGUGGAAAGGCAGGGGAGAGCUACAGACCAUGACAUGGCACCCAAGAGAGAGAUAGGUGCUGAGUCCAAUGGAAAGAUCUACACGAAAGCGGUGCAGGAAGUCCUUUCUGAGGAGCUCGCCUCCAGGCUGGAGGGCUUCCUACAACAGCAGGUCCCAGCUCAGGGAGAAGACCUUCCCCUGCAGUGCGCCCCCACUCUGUCUCCAAGUCCCUGGCUGGAUAUAAACGCAAGGGCUUGGAAGAAGAGCAGCAAACAGCAGCGCAGUUGCCUGCUAACAAAAGAGCAAGGGGUCAGAGCAGAGACAGCAUGCUGGCUCCAACAGCACAGCCUGGGCCUGCUGCAGCACGGAGCUCCAAGCUAA